UCUAAUGUGGCAGAUAAGUGCCAUGGAUUUAAGCUCCAUAUAUAAAGGUUUUUCCUUUCAUUAGAA
rnacentral:tRNA from 1 species